UUCCAGUAACCACCCUAUGUGUUUCUUUACAGUUGUAUUCCAUCGAAACCAGUGGAAAUAAAAUGUCUGUGAUACGUAUGCUGCAGGUAUCCUUAAAAUGCCAUCACUGCAUCUUUGAUGAAGAUGGGAAGCAGGAAGCAAAACUUCUAGGUAAUGAAUUGGCAUGGCAAUGUGGAGUAUUAGAAAACAUCUUUCCACAAGGCAGUAGGAAAGAGAGAUGCUAAAUAAACAAUAUUAUGCUGUGGGUCACCCACAAGAUGGCAAUAGCAGGAAGAUUUUGUAAAAGUUCAUGGAAUUGUCCUUUGCUUCUGAUAAGUAUUUGGAAAUUUAAUGUAGGUCAGAGAAGAGCUGAGACAGAAGUUAGUUGGUUUGUUGUCUUCCUUUUCCCAGAAUUAUAAUAAGAUUAUUAAAAAUAGAGCAUGAACGUACGUACAAAUGUCAUGGCCAUUGGUACAGUGGAAUUUCUACUACACAAAAAGUUAUGAAUGACAUUUAUCUUGUCUUCUUCCGUCCAAAUUCUAUUUUUGGUGAAAGGACUCAACUGAAAUGUUUUCAGUGUUUGUCAAAGGACUGUAAGAUUAUUUGUUAGGAAUUCAACAUUAACAUAAAUGUCCUAGUUUUCCAUCUUCCCAUAAAUUUGAAUGAGAUCUGACUACAAAUAAGGAUUUCUCCAAGGAUUUAAGCUCUGAAUUUCAAAAGGCAUUUAGUACUUAUUCCCUAUGAAACUGUGCCUCUGAGGGUUUUUUUCUGGUAUGCUCCUACAUUCUGAGGCCUUUCAAUUGGAGGGGAAGGGAAUAACGUUCCUUUAGCAUUUCAUUUGUUAUAAAUUCUCUAAUUCAUUUUUUCUGCUGUUAUUGUUGUUCAAAUUUAGUAAAAAAGUGAAUUAAUAGAUGGUAGUCCCAUCUUUCUUGGCAUUAACCUCGAUAAGGAUGAUAGGUUCAUGUUCCCUAUGUUUAGAUGCCUAUCAUGACUAAUUUGGAGCUAAUGUACUGCAUCUUCCAUAGAACAAAUGCUGCAUUUCAGCAUGUUAAUCCUCAGCAAUCUCUGAACUGUCUCCACCUUUCAAAUUAAGAGUGAAAGAAACAAACUAUUUCAAUAUAUUCAACCAUGAAGUUGGUAAAAUGAAAAUACUUGAAAAUAACAGCCGUUGUAGUCAGUAAGUACCUUAUAACUUACCUUGAAGUUUCCUUUCUCCACUGUCCAGCUGACAAUCACUAGGUAAACAGUGCAGACAUCUUUAGUGAACUGAGCCUCCAGUAGAUGAAAAGAUUGAGUGACACAAAGCAGUAAUCCUGUCUGGUGCUUUCACGUUGUUUCUGGAGGUUCAAUUUUUUGGCUUCUUUCUUUGACACACAGAAUGUGCUAUGUCAUACUUGUGUCAUGUAAACCUAAGCAGUACCUUGAUCCUUUACACAGUAAAUGGACAUAAUGAAAUGAGAUGAAGUAUAUAUAAUAUCUAUUGGAUCUGUUGCUGGUGUUUUAUAAAUUCUAGCUUUCUAUGUUGUCGGAAUGUUAAAUACGAAUCUCAGUAUUUUAUUUUCUUUAAGAUUUGGCUAGUAGUGAAUUUAGAGUGGAUUUGAAUAGAUAAUUGAGCAGGUACUUUGUUUCUGUGGAAACUGAAUUUUCAGAUGAAAUUAGUAUUUUGUCUGAACUAAUUGCUGAGAAUUUUGUAAACACUCUAAUGGUGAACUUAGAAAACAGAGGUGUCGUAUCAUUUGUGUAAUGUAUAUAUUUAACUGCAGCUGAUACCUUGUUACCUUACUGGCACUAUGUUCUUGAUAUCUGAACAGCUGACAUUAGCUGAAAACCAUGGUGGGAACUUUUGGAUCUCUGGCAUAUACAGUCUUAUGCUAUUGCUGGGUGAGGUUCAAGUUAUUCUUGACUUAGUGUAAAUAAAGUUAUCUGUUUAUGUUUAAAUU
rnacentral:lncRNA from 7 species